AUGCUCGCUUUGGCAGCACAUAUACUAAAAAUUGGAAAGAUACAGAGAACAUCAGCAUGGGCCUUGAGCAAGGAUGACACACAAAUUCAUGAAGUGUUCCAUAUUAAA
ensembl:snRNA U6 U6 spliceosomal RNA